rnacentral:rRNA from 1 species
UACGUAGGGUGCAAGCGUUAAUCGGAAUUACUGGGCGUAAAGCGUGCGCAGGCGGUUGUGUAAGACAGAUGUGAAAUGCCCGGGCUUAACCUGGGAACUGCAUUUGUGACUGCACGGCUAGAGUUUGGCAGAGGGGGGUAGAAUUCCACGUGUAGCAGUGAAAUGCGUAGAGAUGCGGAGGAACACCGAUGGCGAAGGCAGCCCCCUGGGCUAACACUGACGCUCAGGCACGAAAGCGUGGGGAGCAAACAGG